ensembl:lncRNA
CUUGGCCCGUUGAUUUGCUAGGAGAAGCUUGCUGCAGAUGGUUUUCCUGAUGCUGUUGCGGUCGGAGGAGGAGCUCGGGGCCUCACUAUCUCUGGGAAUGGCUGCUGUUUCAUCAGGGGAGCUCCAACCUUUACCAUGAGCAUCACUUCCUGCCUCCAAUGUGGAUCCCUCACGUUGAUGGCGCAAAUUCUUCAUCUGACUGGAGUAGGUUUUCUGGCUUCCACAACUGGCCUUUGGGCUUCCAGGUGCAGAACUUCAAUAUGAACAAGAAUGAGACAUUGCCGUGGGCUCUAGACCACUGGCUGGACUUGAGCAGGAGAUUGCCUUGGACUCUAAGUCUUUAGCUGGAUUUGUGUGGGAAAUUGCUGGGAUCCAGGCCCUCAGCUGAAUCCUCUGGGCUUCUAGUGUGCAGUUACUCACUUUGCACUCCUUUGCAUUUGACUCUUUGGCACAGGAAACUGUUGGCCUGAAUGAAGGUGGGAGCCUCUUCAUCUCUCCUCACUGCAUCUCCAGACUACUCUAUCCGGUCUUCACCCAUAAGAAAGUGCACAGCCACAGGUCUGGACUUUGAGAUCUGGCACCAUGCUAUUUCUGGCUCUUCUGCAAACCCAAAAUGACCAGGAAAGGUAAGUGUUUUGAAUCCAUUCAGGACAUCAGGGCAGCCGUAAGAGUGCAACUAAAUACACCAAAAAGGACUUCCAGAAAUGCUUCAGAAAAUGGCACAAUAAGAUGUUCGAAGUUCAUAUUAACACCUCCUCCAUGCCAGCCAUAGAACCGGCCAUUUUUCUAUGGAGCCCUAUCUUCUUUGGAAGAUUCCAUGCUAUAAGCCUACCCAAAAUGACAACGCCUGGCACCUAUGGAGGGCCUUUAGAUAGACCCUCUGUAGAGUAACUGACUGCUGAUCACAACUACAACUGAUCACAACUUCAGCCAGAAGUAGCCAGAAUGGUCUUUGCUCUUUGCCCCCUCACACCAGUUAGAGGUUCUUCAGAGGGGGGAAUAUUGCAGAUAGGUAAGUUUAUUAGAUAUCUUGUAGGCAGAUAGACAGAGCCAGCCCAGGAGGAGCCAACAUGGCAGACAAUCAAGACACAUUCACUGAAGGCCAGCAUUGUAAGAGAAGAGAAACUACUACACCCAGGUGCUUCCCCUAAGGAUAAAUAGGUAUCAGCCACAUGGGUGGGAGACAAAGAUCUUCCAGGAAAGAUCCUUGACCCACCCUUUUCCACUAAAAAUCCUUGCUCAUUCUUUGUAUGCUUGCUAUGUGACUUGUUUCCCCAUUGGAUCCCUAUUUAAUCAGUAUUACCUAAGCAACUAUACUUGUCAUAAUCUUAUUGGUUUUCAUAGUUUUGUCCACCUUGUGAUUUCUCUCAUUGGAUCAAUAUUACCUGGGUGACUGUACUUAUAAUCUUAUUGGUUGGCCAUGGUUUUGUCCCACCUCAUGCCUGCCUUGUAAAUUUCCAUUGGGCCUUAUAGUUUUGUCCCACUUUAUACCCACCUCACCACAUGACAUGGCUGUAUAAAACAUCUUUGAAAAGUGGGGUGGGCAGGCAAUCCACUUUCCAGUCCCCCUUCUGACUCUCUUAGAAGC